ACGCUCGACACCUACGGGGGGCAGCAGUGGGGAAUAUUGCACAAUGGGGGAAACCCUGAUGCAGCGACGCCGCGUGAGCGAAGAAGUAUUUCGGUAUGUAAAGCUCUAUCAGCAGGGAAGAAACUGACGGUACCUGACUAAGAAGCACCGGCUAAAUACGUGCCACAGCCGCGGUAAUCUGAGCGGGCUGGCAAGGC
rnacentral:rRNA from 1 species